AUUGAACGCUGGCGGCAGGCCUAACACAUGCAAGUCGAACGGUAACAGGAAGCAGCUUGCUGCUUCGCUGACGAGUGGCGGACGGGUGAGUAAUGUCUGGGAAACUGCCUGAUGGAGGGGGAUAACUACUGGAAACGGUAGCUAAUACCGCAUAACGUCGCAAGACCAAAGAGGGGGACCUUCGGGCCUCUUGCCAUCGGAUGUGCCCAGAUGGGAUUAGCUAGUAGGUGGGGUAACGGCUCACCUAGGCGACGAUCCCUAGCUGGUCUGAGAGGAUGACCAGCCACACUGGAACUGAGACACGGUCCAGACUCCUACGGGAGGCAGCAGUGGGGAAUAUUGCACAAUGGGCGCAAGCCUGAGGCAGCCAUGCCGCGUGUAUGAAGAAGGCCUUCGGGUUGUAAAGUACUUUCAGCGGGGAGGAAGGCGAUAAGGUUAAUAACCUUGUCGAUUGACGUUACCCGCAGAAGAAGCACCGGCUAACUCCGUGCCAGCAGCCGCUGUAA
rnacentral:rRNA from 1 species